CCAGACUCCUACGGGAGGCAGCAGUGGGGAAUAUUGGGCAAUGGAGGAAACUCUUACCCAGCAAUGCCGCGUGAAUGAAGAAGGUCUUCGGAUUGUAAAGUUCUUUAAUUGGGGACGAAAAAAAUGACGGUACCCAAGGAAUAAGCCCCGGCUAACUACGUGCCAGCAGCCGCGGUAAUACGUAGGGGGCAAGCGUUGUUCGGAAUGACUGGGCGUAAAGGGAGCGUAGACGGCUGCGCAAGUCUGAAGUGAAAGCCCGGGGCUCAACCCCGGGACUGCUUUGGAAACUGUGUAGCUAGAGUGCUGGAGAGGCAAGCGGAAUUCCUAGUGUAGCGGUGAAAUGCGUAGAUAUUAGGAAGAACACCAGUGGCGAAGGCGGCUUGCUGGACAGUAACUGACGUUGAGGCUCGAAAGCGUGGGGAGCAAACAGGAUUAGAUACCCUAGUAUC
rnacentral:rRNA from 1 species